UCCAACGUGGCCCAAUGGUCACGGCGUCUGGCUACGAACCAGAAGAUUCCAGGUUCAAGUCCUGGCGGGGAAG
rnacentral:tRNA from 1 species